UGGGAUGUAACUCAGUGAUAGAGUGUUUGCCUAGUAUGCACAAGGUCUAGGUUUAAUCCCCAGUACCUAAG
rnacentral:tRNA from 1 species